CUGCACUGCCUUUGAACCUCUUUGGUGUACCUCUGUGACCUCUGAGGCCAAGCUGCUGUGCUACAGCAAAGGACUGUUCAUAACUGGAGCAUUCUGGAACAACACCAGACUGCUCUUUUAAAUACAAGCCACAACC